GGAAGUGACGGAAGCCAGGGCCCGAAGAUGGACGGAAUCUGUCGCCUCUGCACAGCCUCAUUCAGUUGUGUCCUUCCCAGACCCUCAGACUCGCCCACUACAGCGUCCAGCGCUGCCCGGGCGGGGGAGAAGGGGCGCCCUCCCGGGGGGGAUGGGUAGGGGGUGUCGGCCGGGGAAAUCAGGCCAUUUCCCGCCUCCCUUCCCCACCGGCACCCGCGCCACUCUUCCUGACAGGACCACCGAUGCCCUGCUCCACACCAACUGCGUCCUUUUCCCUAGAGAGAAACUGAGGCAGAGAGGGACAUUUAUGCAGUGUGUGAUUCUUUCUAAAACAACUCCCUGGAAGAGAGGACAUUUAAUUCAACAAUUUAUUGGCCACCUACUGUGCACCAGGCAGUGAACUUGGAACUGGGGCUACUGGGUUACAGCAGUGACCAAGACAGAGGUCCCUGUUCUUAAGGAGCAAGUGAGGGCAACAGAAAAGAGCAGAAGUCAGCUGUCAUGCGAGGGCACUCAAGCAGCCCUGUGGAAAGCUCUACGUGGUGAGAAACUGAAGCCUCCUGCCAACACCAACAAGGAACUGAGACCUACUUCCAACAGCCAUCUGAGUGAUCGAUCCAUCCUGGAAUCAGAUCCUCCAGCCCCAGUCAAGUCUUCAGAUGACUGCAGCCCUGACCAGCAUCUCAACUGCAACCUCGUGAAUGACCCUGAGCCAGAACCAUGCAACUAAACUCUGCGUGGAUUCAUGACCCACAGAAACUGUGAGAUGGUAGCUGUUUGCUUUGUUAAGCCUCUAAGUCUGGAAAGAAUGUCUUAAGCAGUAGCAGACAAUGAACACAAGAUUAUUAUUCAGCUGUUGAAUUGGAAGAGGAGGGGAAGAAAAAAUUUUCAGAUCACAAAAUAUUCAUUGUGUAAAACUUCAAAAAUUCUGAAAUUUAAGGAAAAAAUAUCAUUUGUUGGGAAUUUGUUGGGAUUCAUUGUCUCAGUGCCAAGAGACACCCACUCUUUUUUUUUUUUUGAGACAGAGUCCUGCUCUGUUGCCCAGGCUGAAGGGCAGUGGCACGAUCUCAGCUCACCACAACCUCUGCCUCCCGGGUUCAAGUGAUUCUCCUCCCUAAGCCUCCCAAGUGGCUGGGACUACAGGCAUGCAUCACCAUGCCCGGCUAAUUUUUGUAUUUUUAGUAGAGACGGGGUUUCACUAUGUUGGCCGGCUGAUCUCAAACUCUUGACCCCGUGAUCCGCCCGCAUCAGCCUCCCAAAGUGCCGGGAUUACAGGCAUGAGCCACUGCGCCCGGCCGAGACACUCACUCUUAACAUUUUGGUAUAUUUUUUCUCUCUGCACAUUUUUUAUCCAGCUGACUUUAUUUUGUCUCCUGAAAUCUUCAUUUUUAAAUUAUAGCUUCAGCAUUUAAGAAAAUGUGUCUAACAAAGUCUUCGCAAGCAUACAUUUUUCCCAUAGUUAGUAUACUUAGAAUUUAUUUGUCAAGCAAUUUUGAAGGGCUUUCACUAUGAAAAACUUUAGGGCUUAUUGAUAUUCUCUUUAAGUAGAAGUAUGUUUUUUAUUAUUACAAAAGUUAUAUAUGUAUAUAUAUGGUGUUUGUGUUUGUGUGUGUGUGUGUGUGUGUGUGUGUGUGUGUGUGGAGUC
rnacentral:lncRNA from 1 species